ACAUGCCUACAACAUAGUGUUAAUUCAUUGUAUCCCAUUAGAACUCUGUAGUUAAUCACGCUCGGGUUAGAGUAGUGUUGGGAUGGGUGAUCUCUCGAGAAGUCCUAGUGUUUUACAUGCC
rnacentral:rRNA from 1 species